GCACGCUCACACCAGGCCACAGCAAUGGCCGCCGCCAAUGUCCCAGUCCCUGGAGAGGUCUCACCCCUCACCGAGAUGCACUCAGGGCCUAUUAGGUGCUGUUUCUGAGAGGACACCCCAAUUGACCUCCUGCCGUCAAAUCUCCGUCUCAGAGUCUGUUUCCUGGGGAGCCUGAUCUGAGAUGCUAACCAAAGUACUGUGCAAAAUGUGCAGUGGAAAUGAAGCUUGAUGGUGCUGCCGUUUCCCCAGCAGGCUUCCUCUCAGAGACCCGAGAGGAAGGUCAAGAGAGAUGACAUGUACUGGGAGGUCUUUGAAGGAACAGACCCAGAGGCUUCCUUGAAAUGCCCCCUUUCCUGCAGUUUCCACAGGCAGGCAUUCUGCAAGGCGAUUUAGAAGAACCUGACUUUUAUGGCUUCUCUCUCUCUCUGCUGCAUCUUUUACACAGUUGCCAGAGAGGAAACGUGAAUACGAAGGUGACUGAUACAGUAGGACGCACCCUGACAUAUCCUGAAUAUUAAAUAACCACAGCACAUGGGAGGCUGAACAAGUCAUUCUGCAAAAUGAGCUCCCUCAUAUCAAAGGGGGAAAGACAAGAGAAGAUUCAAAACUGCCUCAAAGCUUCAUCCGGGGGCUGCUGUUUUUAGGGAGUGUUGGAG